rnacentral:rRNA from 1 species
AGAACGAACGCUGGCGGCAGGCUUAACACAUGCAAGUCGAACGCCCCGCAAGGGGAGUGGCAGACGGGUGAGUAACGCGUGGGAAUCUACCUGGUUCUACGGAAUAACACAGGGAAACUUGUGCUAAUACCGUAUACGCCCUAUGGGGGAAAGAUUUAUCGGUGCCAGAUGAGCCCGCGUAAGAUUAGCUAGUUGGUGGGGUAACGGCCUACCAAGGCGACGAUCUUUAGCUGGUCUGAGAGGAUGAUCAGCCACACUGGGACUGAGACACGGCCCAGACUCCUACGGGAGGCAGCAGUGGGGAAUAUUGGACAAUGGGCGAAAGCCUGAUCCAGCCAUGCCGCGUGAGUGAUGAAGGCCUUAGGGUUGUAAAGCUCUUUCAGUGGGGAAGAUAAUGACGGUACCCACAGAAGAAGCCCCGGCUAACUUCGUGCCAGCAGCCGC